rnacentral:misc_RNA from 1 species
CAUCCUUGAUUCUCAUGUACUAUCUGCAUGAACAUCCAAAGGGAAAACAGUGCUUGCAGAUCAACAAUAUCAGCAUGUCGAUUAAACUCUUGCAAUCCUUGAUUACUAUGAAUCCAAAAAAUUUCAAGAUAGCAGCACCUACCUUAGGCAAACACAUGAAACACAAUUAAGAGUCUACUAUUGAGGCCAAUACAACAGGAUGUUUGGUUUUGGCAUAACAUUUACAGGUAGCAG